CGACAAAGUGAGACUCUGUCUAAAACAAAAAUAAAAAAAUAAAGGCUGAAAAUUUUACCAGCCAAAAUUAAAUUUUAACCAGUUAGCAGUUUCCUGGUACUUUGCCCAUAACAAUUUGAAAAGUUGUGGUUGAGCACUGCAUGCUAGUGGCAUGUCACAAAACUCCGUGCUGCCACCAUAGAUGAACUCAGAGGAACUUCUCCUUAACCAAGUUGCCAUUUUCUCCUCCUGAGUCCUCGAAAGAGCAAGACGACUCCAUGCUUUGCUCCUUCCUAGUCUAGUAGUGACUCAGGAACACAGCUUAUAGACUUUAGCCCCAGCUCCCCACAGAAGGGUUUGGAGGCUGAGUAUAGGAAGGGCCAGGAUCCACGCUGGGAAACUGCUUGGUCCAUGAUGGUGACCCUCAAGGCAAUAAACAGGACUGAGUCCUGCAGAGGAGCUGGCCUGACUGCAGAGGACAAAAGCAGGGGUGUGAGUAGGUAAAGUGGAGGUCACAGCACAAGGCUUCUUUAUCCAACCAAGGACAUAAAAAGUUGCAGCAAUUUCACAUCCAGGAAUCUAAUUCCAGUAUCGCGAUAUAGGAGAAACCAAAGUGUUGUCUCCCACUCUCACACAGCCAGCACACUUUUAACACCAGAUGUGUGGGGGAUGUUUCCCCAUACACCAAGCAAUUCUGCAACGGAUGCCAGUUGGGUGUCCUGUAAUUCAAUUCAGUUCUGGCACUAUGUACCUGGAAAUAGCAGGGGCUCAGGGUUUGAUCCUAUGAGACCGCCCCCCGUUUCAGAUGCCCAUCCCAGGUAGUAGGUUGUCUCCUGUACCUCUGACUGCCCAGCUAUAAACUGGAAUUCCCCCGACCCACUCCUUGUUUGGAUUAAUUUGCUAGAGUGGAUCACAGACUCAGUGAAACACUUUACUUCUGUUUGCCCAUUUAUGGCCAAGGAUAUUACAAAGCAUGUAGAUGAACAGUGAGAUGGAAGAGAUGCACAGGGCAAGAAAUGUGGGAAGGGCUGUGGUGCUUCCAUAUCCUCUCUGGGCACGCCACCCUCUAGGAACCUGAUGUUCUGCUCUCCAGAACUCAACAAACCCUGUCCUCUGGGCUUUUAUACAGGCUUCAUGGCAUAUGUCUGAUUGAUUACAUCACUGGUCAUUGGUGUUCAACUUAACCUUCAGUUCCUCUCCUCUCUGUGGAGGUUUGGGGGGAGGUGGUGGGACUAAAAGUCCCAACCUUCUAAUCCUGCCUUGAUCUUUCUGGUGAGCAGCCCCCAUCCUGAAGCUAUUUAGGGGCUCCAAGUCACCAACCAUCUUAUUAGCAUACAAAAGGUAUUUUCAUCACUCUGGAAAUUCCAAGGAAUUUAAGAGCUUUAGGUCAGGAAACAGGGACUACAAUCAAAUAUAUAUUUCACAAUAGCACACACAGAUGUACCUGCACAAGUACAUACUGAUCUAUGUACAGGAAUAUUCACUGAAGCAUUGUUGGCAACCACACAAAAAAAACUGGAAAUAAUCAUCCAUGGUUAUAUCAGUUCAAUAUAUUACUGUAUAAUCAUACUAUGAGAUGUAACGCAACUACAAGAAAGAUCAUAUAUAAGUGAUAUGAUAAUGUUGAUACAUUAAAUUAGAAGAGUAUGUGGCAGAACAAUUUGCAUACUACUAUUCCAUUUUUUUAUAAGGGAAUGUACAAAUAGUCUUGUAUGUGUAUAGAAAGCACUGGAAGGGCAACCUAGGAACCGUGGGAACUUUUGGGGGAGGGUGGCAAGGAAAGAGAGACCUUUACUUUUCAUUCUCUAUCCGAUUUCUGUUUGACUAUUUGCUGUGUGUAUGCAGUCUAUUCAUAAUUAAAACAAACUAAUUUAAAAUGACGGAAAAGUGAACCAUAGCAGGAAAAAGUAGUCAAGGGUAAAGAAAAUUUUUCCCCAAAAGCUCAGUUAAGAACACUUCUUAACUGUACUCAGUGAAUGUGAAGACCCAAAGAGAAAACAGUCUCUGUAUCUUUUCCUUAAUGUCGCUCAGAGCUAGGUCUCUACUUACUGGUGAGGACCCAGGUCGGUCUCCUGCCCUGGCAUUUGGACGUGAUCUGAGAGGAGUAAGUCAGGUAAAGGAACCUCUGGACCACAGACAACAGCCAGGCUCAGCAGGGAUCACUGAGGUAGGAAUCCCCCCACCCAACCCACUAAAAAAGAGCCAGCAGUUAUUAAAAUCAUGGGACUAGAGCGGGGCAGACUGGGUUUAUGGGCCUGUUACUACGGUGGUGAUGCUAACGGUUAAAAGGCCAUGGAAGCUUGUUUCAAAUUAAUUGGCCUGCAGAGUAGGAAAAAAAAAAAUGACCCUACUAAUGAUCCUAGGUAAUUCUGUCUUCUAGGUUACAGCAAGCAGCCCCCAGAACGACCUUUAUUGAAGCCUGAGUGACAAGAAGCCUGUAGCGGGGUGAGGGGGACCUGCUUGGAGAAAGGCCCCAAAAGAGAGGAGCUCUCCCUAACUCUCCAAUGACAUGGGAAAAUUUUACUCAUACAAAAUUCCCUGGAAAUCCAGCCACCCACCCGCUGCAAGAGAAGGCCUAGAGAUGCAGCGGCCAGAGCCAGCCUCAGGCCACAGCUCUUCUUCCCCAUGCUGGGGGUGCUGCUGCUUGCCUUCACCCCGACCCUGUAUCCCCACUUUCCACUGCCCCGGAUCGCCCAGGCUGAAUGUCUCCUCUUCUCCUCCACUAUUCUGAGCUUCGAAGAGCUAACUCCAAUGUGUUCAGCAUAUGGAAAAGUGAGGAACUGAACCCCUUCCACCCCUGCCUCCCUAGGCAACCUGAAGAGCUCUUGGGCCCUAAUACCAGUGUCUGGGAGGCGCGUAAACGCUUCCAUUUUUAUCCUUCCACUGCAGAAAAUGCCCGGUUUAUUCUGGGAGACACUCAGACCCCUCGGGACAAGGGUAGCUAGAGAGAGGUCCAAGCUGCCCUGGGUGGGUGGGGAGUCAAGGCAGGCCAAAGCUUCAGAUUUAGACAGUAACCACCAAAUCCGACCUGCACUGCAGGUCCAAGGCCUUUUCCUCUUUCCUGCAUGCUCCGCUCUGCCGCUGGCCCAUCUUCCAAUGUAACCCCUACAACCACCAAGGCAAAAAGAGCUGUCCCAACUCCAUCCUCACGGCGCCAUCUCCAACCCUCUGAGGAUCCCGCUUCAUGUCUCCUCUAUUUUACAAAGCAGCCCUCCUUGCAGCCCUCACGAAAAGUUCUGCAGUGAGGUCCCCCAGAGCGGGGCCCUUCCCCAGACCCUUAAAGAGAAAGUUCGUUUGGUGGGCCAUACCCGGGCAGCGCGGGCCCUGCCCUGGCCUGGUUCUACUUGUGUUCUGAAGUCCCUGACCACCGCCUUGAGUCCAGCCCUCGUCCAGGGGGCGGCGGUGCAGGGGAGACCGCGCGGCCUGGCCUGAAGUGCGGCCGCUCCCAUCCCUUCCCCGGGCCUGGGGUGGGUCCCCCGCCGACAAACUCAGGAGGGGCCGCGCCCCUGUCCCCUACGCGCUCACAAACGCCUUGGUCGCCCGAACCUUCGGCCCCGCAGCGUUCGGCUGCAGGACCGCGACACUGCAGGGCCCCAGAUCUGCGCGCUGCGCUCCGGCCCGUCGGCGCGGGAGGACGCGCGGCCGCGCCUGCCUCGGUGGCCGCGCGGGGUGGGAGCAUUUCAGAGCGCCCAAGCCAUGGUGGCCAAACAGCGGAUCCGGAUGGCUAACGAGAAGCACAGCAAAAACAUCACCCAGAGGGGGAACGUAGCCAAAACCCUGAGGCCGCAAGAGGAGAAAUAUCCUGUGGGACCAUGGCUGUUGGCACUGUUUGUGUUUGUUGUCUGUGGCUCAGGUCAACCACAUAAAUUGGCCUUUCCUGGAGACUGCCAGAACUUUCUCAAAACUGUAACAUCCAGAGGAAGUCACCUCCACCCAGGACCGGCAAGUGGGAUGUGAACGGGCCGGCCCUGGACAAAAGACUGAGGCCAUUCAUCUGCUCUGGAGUUCAUCCUCGGGAUCUGAGAGGCACAGCCUGGUGAAGACAUCUCAUCAGCCAUCGGCUCCCUUAAGCUAUCUUUCAGAUCAUUCAGAGCAUAAGGAUGGGCAUGUGAGAAGGCCAGGGAUCUGACACCACCUCCCUCCCACUGGAGAGCGGAGGACCACGGAAGCGGUCAGCCAGUUUCUGCGGGAAGCAAGCAGGCCACACGGAAUAGAAAAAAUCGCUCCCCCACUUGUUCCCUGAUCACUUCAUCGUGGAUGUCAGACCAAAUUGCCUUCUCACAGGACAUCUUGGUGCAUCCGUGUUCUCAAGCGGAAAGGACAUUUUGCUUUUCUGUUGGCAGGAUUAGUGGCCACGCGGGUCGUCCGCAGCAGUGCUGUCUUUUUGGCUUUUCCCUUGGUUUCACUAAUGCGUGCAUGUGGCCCUCUGAACGAUCACUGGUUUACUUUCUAUGGAUACAAUCUCUCCCCCAUUGAGAAUUGGUUUUACAAAUAAAUGCCUUCGUUCAGCCUUA